rnacentral:rRNA from 1 species
UAGGGAAUAUUGGUAAUCUGGGAAACCGGGAACCAGCAACGCCGCGUGUGCGAUGAAGGCCUUCGGGUUGUAAAGCACUUUUUAAGAGGAUGAGGAAGGACAGUACUCUUAGAAUAAGCCUCGGCUAACUACGUGCCAGCAGCCGCGGUAACACGUAGGAGGCAAGCGUUAUUCGGAUUUACUGGGCGUAAAGCGCGUGCAGGCGGUUUGGUUAGUUGGAUGUGAAAGCUCCUGGCUUAACUGGGAGAGGUCGUUCAAUACUACCAGACUAGAGGAUGGGAGAGGGAGGUGGAAUUCCGGGUGUAGUGGUGAAAUGCGUAGAUAUCCGGAGGAACACCAGUGGCGAAAGCGGCCUCCUGGCCCAUUUCUGACGCUCAGACGCGAAAGCUAGGGUAGCAAACGG